GACGAACGCUGGCGGCGUGCUUAACACAUGCAAGUCGAACGAAGUGGCGCACGGGUGAGUAACGCGUAAUCAUCCUUGCCUUCGGAGGGGGACAACAGUUGGCAACGGCUGCUAAUACCUCAUACUUUAGGAGGUGCUUGCGUUUGAUGAGCUAGUUGGAGGGGUAACGGGCCACCAAGGCGAUGAUGAGUAGCCGGGCUGGACGGAUGAACGGCCACAAUGGGACUGAGACACGGCCCAGACUCCUACGGGAGGCAGCAGUGGGGAAACGUACGAAAAUGAAGAAAGUCUGACGGAGCAACGCCGGGGGAGGGAUGACGGCCUUCGGGGUGGAAAGCUAUGUUCAUCGGGAAGCGGUACCGGAAUAGAAAGCAACGGCUAACUACGUGCCAGCAGCCGCGGUAAUUC
rnacentral:rRNA from 1 species